rnacentral:rRNA from 1 species
UACGUAGGGGGCAAGCGUUGUCCGGAAUUAUUGGGCGUAAAGGGCGCGUAGGCGGUGCGGUAAGUCACCUGUGAAAACUCUGGGCUCAACUCAGAGCCUGCAGGCGAAACUGCCGUGCUUGAGACCGGGAGAGGUGAGUGGAAUUCCCAGUGUAGCGGUGAAAUGCGUAGAUAUUGGGAGGAACACCAGUGGCGAAGGCGGCUCACUGGACCGGUACUGACGCUGAUGCGCGAAAGCGUGGGGAGCAAAC